AGGGCAUACGGUGGAUGCCUUGGCACUGGAAGGCGAUGAAGGUCGUGGCAAGCUGCGAUAAGCUUCGGUGAGGAGCAAGCAUCCGCAUAACCGGAGAUGACCGAAUCGGAAAACCGAAUACAGGAGAACCUGUAUUAUCUAUCACUGAAUAAAUAGGUGAUAGAGGCAAGACCAGGGGAAUUGAAACAUCUAAGUACCCUGAGGAAAAGAAAUCAAACGAGAUUCCCUCAGUAGUGGCGAGCGAAAGGGGAAGAGCCCAAACCGGAUUAUACGUUACAGGCUGGAGCCGCUGUAAAUCCGGGGUUGUAGGAUACAGACAGAGAGCACUCCAGGGCUCUCGGGAAGUUACAAAACCUCAUGUUAGCAGAACCCGCUGGAAAGAGGGCCAAAGAGGGUGAUAGCCCCGUAAGCGAAAACAUAGAGGACUUCCUGGUCUGUAGACCUGAGUAGGGCGGGGCACGUGGAACCCUGUUCGAAUCUGGGAGGACCAUCUUCCAAGGCUAAAUACUAACCAGUGACCGAUAGUGAACAAGUACCGUGAGGGAAAGGUGAAAAGAACCCAGAGAUGGGAGUGAAAUAGAACCUGAAACCGUAUGCUUACAAGGUGUGGGAGGGCGAAAGCCUGACCGCGUGCCUUUUGUAGAAUGAGCCGGCGAGUUACUUUAUACAGCGAGGUUAAGCAAUAGUAAUUGCGAAGCCGAAGCGAAAGCGAGUCUUAAAUGGGCGUAUAGUUGUAUGGAGUAGACCCGAAACCGAGUGAUCUAGUUAUGGCCAGGUUGAAGUGGCGGUAAAACGUCAUGGAGGACCGAACCGGUGAAUGUUGAAAAAUUCUCGGAUGAGCUGUGACUAGGGGUGAAAGGCCAAACAAACUCGGCAAUAGCUGGUUCUCCUCGAAAUAGCUUUAGGGCUAGCCUCAUGCGUUUAGUUACGGGGGUAGAGCUCUGAUUGGGCUAGGGGGUCAACAAACUUACCAAACCCAGUUAAACUGCGAAUACCGUAACUUUAGAGCAUGGGAGUCAGACUACGAGAGAUAAGUUCCGUGGUCAAAAGGGAAAGAGCCCAGACCAACAGCUAAGGUCCCCAAGUGUAUGCUAAGUGAUAAAGGAGGUGGCGCCGCACAAACAUCCAGGAGGUUGGCUUAGAAGCAGCAACCCUUUAAAGAGUGCGUAAUAGCUCACUGGCCGAGUGGCGCUGCGCCAAAAAUGAUUGGGACUAAGUAUACCACCGAAGCUUUGGACUUACGUAAGUAAGUGGUAGAGGAGCAUUCUGUACCGGGCUGAAGGUAGUUCGUGAGGGCUGCUGGACUGUACAGAAGAGAGAAUGCCGGCAUGAGUAACGACAAACACGGUGAAAACCCGUGUCGCCGAAAGCCUAAGGUUUUCUGGGCAAUGUUAAUCAACUCAGAGUUAGUCGGCCCCUAAGGCGAGGCCGAGAGGCGUAGUCGAUGGGAAGCAGGUUCAUAUUCCUGCACCACCUGGUGGAGGCUAUCGUGAUGGAGUGACGCAGGAGGAUAUAUACGCAGGGCGUUGGUUGUCCCUGUUCCUGAUUGUAGGUCUGGGUUAUAGGAAAAUCCGUAACCCUUAUGACAGAGGAUUGGGGGGAGUAAGAUUAUCUUGCGAAGGUGUAGAUUCCAUACUGCCAGGAAAAACUUCUAAACGCGAAACUGGGUGACCGUACUAAAACCGACACAGGUAGGCGGGGAGAGUAUCCCAAGGCGCUCGAGAGAACCUCCGUUAAGGAACUCGGCAAAAUGGUCCCGUAACUUAGGGAAAAGGGACGCCUCAUUAGUGUGAAGCCACUUGCUGGUGGAGCAUGAAGAGGCCGCAGAUAAAUGGCCCAAGCGACUGUUUACCAAAAACACAGGACUCUGCAAACUCGUAAGAGGAAGUAUAGGGUCUGACACCUGCCCGGUGCCGGAAGGUUAAAAGGAGAGGUUAGCCGCAAGGCGAAGCUUUGAAUUGAAGCCCCGGUAAACGGCGGCCGUAACUAUGACGGUCCUAAGGUAGCGAAAUUCCUUGUCGGGUAAGUUCCGACCUGCACGAAUGGUGUAACGACUUGGGCACUGUCUCAACGGGGGACUCGGUGAAAUUGUAAUGUUAGUGAAGAUGCUGACUACCUGCAGAAGGACGGAAAGACCCCGUGCACCUUUACUGUAGCCUGACACUGUAGUUUGGUACAAUAUGUGUAGGAUAGGUGGGAGACUGUGAAACCGGGACGCCAGUUUCGGUGGAGUCGUCCUUGAAAUACCACCCUUGUUGUAUCGGACUACUAACCGGUACCCGUGAUCCGGGACUGGAACACUGUCUGGUGGGCAGUUUGACUGGGGCGGUCGCCUCCUAAAGAGUAACGGAGGCGCCCAAAGGUUCCCUCAGCACGGACGGAAAUCGUGCGUAGAGUGUAAACGCAAAAGGGAGCUUAACUGCAAGACCUACAAGUCGAGCAGGUACGAAAGUAGGGGUUAGUGAUCCGGUGGUCCCGUAUGGAAGGGCCAUCGCUCAACGGAUAAAAGGUACGCCGGGGAUAACAGGCUGAUAGUGCCCAAGAGUUCAUAUCGACGGCACUGUUUGGCACCUCGAUGUCGGCUCUUCGCAUCCUGGGGCUGGAGAAGGUCCCAAGGGUUCGGCUGUUCGCCGAUUAAAGCGGAACGCGAGCUGGGUUCAGAACGUCGUGAGACAGUUCGGUCUCUAUCCUCUGCAGGCGCUGGAAAUUUGAGGAGAUCUGUCCUUAGUACGAGAGGACCGGGAUGGACGAACCUCUGGUGUACCGGUUGUCAUGCCAGUGGCACAGCCGGGUGGCUAUGUUCGGAACGGAUAACCGCUGAAAGCAUCUAAGCGGGAAGCCGACUCCAAGAUUAGAUUUC
rnacentral:rRNA from 1 species